UAACGCGUACACAACAUACCAUAUACUGGAGUAUAGCUUUGGGAAACUGAAGGUAAUCCUCCAUAACAUUGCGAGAGGGCAUCUGAUUGCAAUUAAAGUUCCGGCGGUAUAUGAUUGGUGUGCGUUUGAUUAGCUAGUUGGUAGGGUAACGGCCUACCAAGGCGACGAUCAAUAGCUGGCGUGAGAGCGCGACCAGCCACACUGGAACUGAGACACGGUCCAGACUCCUACGGGAGGCAGCAGUAGGGAAUAUUGGACAAUGGGCGAAAGCCUGAUCCAGCCAUGCCGCGUGAUAGAUGAAGGCCCUCUGGGUUGUAAAUAUCUUUUAUCUGGGAAGAAACUCCUCUAUUCUUAGAGGCCUGACGGUACCAGAGGAAUAAGCACCGGCUAACUCCGUG
rnacentral:rRNA from 1 species